rnacentral:rRNA from 1 species
CACGUAGGGGCCAAGCGUUGUCCGGAUUUAUUGGGCGUAAAGAGCUCGUAGGCUGUUCGGUAAGUCGGGUGUGAAAACUCUGGGCUCAACCCAGAGACGCCAUCCGAUACUGCUGUGACUAGAGUCCGGUAGGGGAGUGUGGAAUUUCCGGUGUAGCGGUGAAAUGCGCAGAUAUCGGAAGGAACACCAGUGGCGAAGGCGGCACUCUGGGCCGGAACUGACGCUGAGGAGCGAAAGCGUGGGUAGCAAACAGG